rnacentral:rRNA from 1 species
CGAGGCUAARGCGGAUGUACAUACGUAGCCGAACGAGGGGCCUCAUCUCCCCGAGCCUCCAGCGGUCGUAGCGCGCGGACCGUCGCCGCCCUUCCUCGCUCCGGCGGGGAGCCUAGGCGCCGUUGACGGCCGUCGCCACGGCGGACUCGGAGGAUAGGGGGGUGGAUUUCCCUCCUUAGUAGGCAGUCGCGGCCGUUCGAGAGUCGUCUAAGGCCCGGGAGUCGGGAACCGUCCGGCGGCUAUCAACGCCGUCGGCGGGGACGCUCCCUCGAUUCUGGCGGACUCUCGGACGGUUGAUAAAAAAUGACGACCAGGAGGAAACCGAAUCCCCGGUCGUACGCGGCUGUAAUGCGAGCGUUCAUCCGUCCCGUCUUGAAACACGGACCAAGGAGUCUAACAUGUACGCGAGUCAACGGGUUGGCUAAACCCCAAGGCGCAACGAAAGUGAAAAAUUGAUGAGCGUCCUCCUCGGAGGGCGCCCUUCUUAUUGGGUCGAUCCGUGAUCCCCGCGAGGACCGGCGCAGACCCGGGGCUCGCCGCUACCUCUUCGANAUUNGUCUCGAGGCGGGCGGCGGGCACCUAGAGCGUACAUGCUAGUACCCGAAAGAUGGUGAUCUAUGCCUGGCCAGGAUGAAGCCAGAGGAAACUCUGGUGGAGGUCCGUAGCGAUUCUGACGUGCAAAU